rnacentral:rRNA from 1 species
GAUGAACGCUGGCGGCGUGCCUAAUACAUGCAAGUCGAGCGAACGGACGCGAAGCUUGCUUCUCUGAUGUUAGCGGCGGGCGGGUGAGUCACACGUGGAUAACCUACCUAUAUGACUGGGAUAACUUCGGGAAACCGGAUCUAAUACCGUAUAAUAUUUGGAACCGCAUGGUUCAAAAGUGAAGGACGGUCUUGCUGUCACUUAUAGCUGGAUCCGCGCUGCAUGAGGUAGUUGGUACGGUAAAGGCCUACGAAGGCAACGAUGCAUAGACGAACUGAGAGGGUGAUCGGCGACACUGGAACUGAGCCACGGUCAAGGCGCCUACGGGAGGGAGCAGUAGGGAAUCGUACGCAACGGGCGAAAGCAUGACGGAGCAAGGGCGCGUGAGUGAUGAAGGUGUUGGGAUCGUAAAACUCUGUUAUUAGGGAAGAACAUAUGUGUAAGGAAAUGUAGAGAUCGUGACGGUACCUAAUCAGAAAGCAACGGCUAACUACGUG